CGAAAGCCUGACGGAGCAAGACCGCGUGGGGGAGGAAUGCCUUAGGGUUGUAAACCCCUUUUAUCUGGGAAGAACAAAAUGACGGUACCAGAUGAAUAAGCCUCGGCUAACUCCGUGCCAGCAGCCGCGGUAAGACGGAGGAUGCAAGCGUUAUCCGGAAUUAUUGGGCGUAAAGCGUCCGUAGGCGGUUUAUCAAGUCUGUCGUUAAAGACUGCAGCUUAACUGUGGGCGAGCGGUGGAAACUGAUUAACUAGAGUGUGGUAGGGGUAGAGGGAAUUCCCAGUGUAGCGGUGAAAUGCGUAGAUAUUGGGAAGAACACCAGUGGCGAAGGCGCUCUACUGGGCCACAACUGACGCUGAGGGACGAAAGCUAGGGGAGCG
rnacentral:rRNA from 1 species